GAUGAACGCUGGCGGCGUGCCUAAUACAUGCAAGUCGAGCGAACGGACGAGAAGCUUGCUUCUCUGAUGUUAGCGGCGGACGGGUGAGUAACACGUGGAUAACCUACCUAUAAGACUGGGAUAACUUCGGGAAACCGGAGCUAAUACCGGAUAAUAUUUUGAACCGCAUGGUUCAAAAGUAAAAGACGGUCUUGCUGUCACUUAUAGAUGGAUCCGCGCUGCAUUAGCUAGUUGGUAAGGUAACGGCUUACCAAGGCAACGAUGCAUAGCCGACCUGAGAGGGUGAUCGGCCACACUGGAACUGAGACACAGUCCAGACUCCUACGGGAGGCAGCAGUAGGGAAUCUUCCGCAAUGGGCGAACGCCUGACGGAGCAACGCCGCGUGAGUGAUGAAGGUCUUCGGAUCGUAAAACUCUGUUAUUAGGGAAGAACAUAUGUGUAAGUAACUGUGCACAUCUUGACGGUACCUAAUCAGAAAGCCACGGCUAACUACGUG
rnacentral:rRNA from 1 species